rnacentral:rRNA from 1 species
GACGAACGCUGGCGGCGUGCUUAACACAUGCAAGUCGAACGGAAAGGCCCUGCUUUUGUGGGGUGCUCGAGUGGCGAACGGGUGAGUAACACGUGAGUAACCUGCUCUUGACUUUGGGAUAACUUCAGGAAACUGGGGCUAAUACCGGAUAGGAGCUCCUGCUGCAUGGUGGGGGUUGGAAAGUUUCGGCGGUUGGGGAUGGACUCGCGGCUUAUCAGCUUGUUGGUGGGGUAGUGGCUUACCAAGGCUUUGACGGGUAGCCGGCCUGAGAGGGUGACCGGGCACAUGGGGACUGAGAUACGGCGCAGACUCCUACGGGAGGCAGCGGUGGGGAAUAUUGCACAAUGGGCGGAAGCCUGAUGCAGCAACGCCGCGUGCGGGAUGACGGCCUUCGGGGUGUGAACCGCUUUCGCCUGUGACGAAGCGGGAGUGACGGUAAUGGGUAAAGAAGCACCGGCUAACUACGUG